CUACAACUAUAAAAUCCUUUCUAAACCCCUUUACUGUUUCUAUUUUCGAACCCAGGCCACAAAAUUUCGAUCCCUGUCAUAGUUUGAUCAAAUUUCACCAUGGAAUCUCUGACCGCGAAUUCGGUGCCGCCAUUUCUGAGCAAGACUUACGAUAUGGUGGACGACCCCUCCACCAAUUCGGUGGUGUCGUGGAGUAGCAGUGAUAAUAGUUUUGUGGUGUGGAAUGUACCGGAGUUUCAGAGGGACCUUUUGCCGAAGUAUUUCAAGCACAGCAAUUUCUCUAGCUUUGUCAGACAGUUGAAUACUUAUGGUUUCAGGAAAGUUGACCCAGAUCGCUAUGAAUUUGCAAAUGAGGGGUUCUUAAGAGGACAAAAGCAUCUCUUGAAGAGUAUAUCUAGGAAAAAGUCACUUCAUGGACAGAGUAAUCAACCGCCUCAGGUUCAGAGCUCUAAGGUUGCAGCAUGUGUUGAAGUUGGGAUGUUUGGACUAGAGGAAGAGGUUGAAAGACUGAAACGGGACAAGAAUGUGCUUAUGCAGGAACUUGUUAGAUUGAGGCAGCAGCAGCAAGCUACAGAUAACCAGUUGCAAACUGUGGGGCAACGUGUUCAGGCAAUGGAGCAGCGACAGCAACAAAUGAUGUCAUUCCUUGCAAAGGCCAUGCAAAGCCCAGGCUUCUUAAAUCAGCUUGUACAGCAGAAUAAUGAAAGCAACAGGCUUGGGGGCACUAAAAAGAGGAGACUUCCAGGGCAGGAGGAAGAAAAUUUGGCAGUUAAGUCUGACAGUAAUUCUUCCAAUGGCCAGAUUGUGAAAUUCCACUCUUCAAUGAAUGAAGCAGCAAAAGCUAUGCUGCACCAGAUCCUGAAGAUUAAUUCAUCAUCUAGGCUGGAACCAUCAAUAAACAAUUCUGGUCCUUUCCUGAUUGGUAAUCUUUCUUCUUCCAAUGCAUUAGACAGCAACAAUGCUUCAAGUCGGAUCUCAGAAUUGAUGAUUUCAGAUGUUCAACCAACUUCCGGACCUUCAUUUUUGCCUGUUGAGUCAGGGUUUUCUGUCAGUCAUCCAUGUAAUGCCAUUUCUGAGGUCCAAUCUCCAUCAUGUGCUGUAACUGACUGUGUUAAAACAGAUCAUAUUUCUGAGAUGACAAUGCAUAAUUCUGGGCAAGAUGCAAUUCUGCCUAACUUUGCUGAGAUACAAGGAGUUGUGCCAGAAAGCUCUACUGGAAUUCCUAAUACAAAUUUUGUCAAUCCAACGAAUGGGGAUGGCGAGAACAUCAAUCCAAUGCUAUCCGUCUUGGAUGUAGCAACUUCUGAAGAAACUGAUGCAUUUUCUUCCAAUCAGGACACAGAUAUUUUGAUGGAUGGGAUACCUAAGCUUCCUGGCAUUAAUGAUGUGUUCUGGGAACAGUUUCUUACAGCAAGCUCACCCACGGUGGACACGGAGGAAAUUAAUUCAAGCUCAUUGCCUAGCCACAUGACCAGAGAACAGGAAUUGCAAUCAUGGCAGGAGAAUGGCCUGGACAAUAUUCAACAUAUGAAUCAUCUUACUGAAAAAAUGGAGCUUCUUAUAUCAGAGGCCAGGAUGGGGUGAAUUUUCACCAAUUGCAUAUAAGUUUCUUGCUAUCAAAGGUAAAUCUUAAAGCACCAUUACAAUGAUAAGCUGAAUCUGUCUCCUGUUGCUCAUUGUUACAGUCUGGUGAUAUAACUAAGUUUUGUCCUACUUUCAGAUUUUCAGCCUUGUAUCAGUCUAUUUCUGCAAAGCUAUUGUAGCUGUCAUAGGGUGUGCUUAAACAGACUUUGUUGUCCGAAUGAGGGCGUUGGUUGAUCAUUGAAGAAAAGAAUUUUGCCCUAUGCCAUAUAAAAUAGUUGCUGUUCUGCACUACCGAGCAUAUUAAAGCUUGCUUUUGUUUGUUGAGGGAUGGCUAGGCAAUUUUUUUUUUAGCAGACUUACUUUCACCUUUAUCAUGUGUACUAUGACAAUUUUGUCUAGGUUAUGUGUGAAACCCUUUUCAUUUUAAAUAUAUGUAGUGUUUUGUGGUAAAAAUGGAUAUGGAUUCCUUUUAAUAUGAAACAAACAAGCUUUGCUGUGUCUUA